rnacentral:rRNA from 1 species
AACUCCCAACCCAAUGUGAACGUUACCAAACUGUUGCCUCGGCGGGAUCUCUGCCCCGGGUGCGUCGCAGCCCCGGACCAAGGCGCCCGCCGGAGGACCAACCAAAACUCUUUUUGUAUACCCCCUCGCGGGUUUUUUAUAAUCUGAGCCUUCUCGGCGCCUCUCGUAGGCGUUUCGAAAAUGAAUCAAAACUUUCAACAACGGAUCUCUUGGUUCUGGCAUCGAUGAAGAACGCAGCGAAAUGCGAUAAGUAAUGUGAAUUGCAGAAUUCAGUGAAUCAUCGAAUCUUUGAACGCACAUUGCGCCCGCCAGUAUUCUGGCGGGCAUGCCUGUCCGAGCGUCAUUUCAACCCUCGAACCCCUCCGGGGGGUCGGCGUUGGGGAUCGGCCCUGCCUCUUGGCGGUGGCCGUCUCCGAAAUACAGUGGCGGUCUCGCCGCAGCCUCUCCUGCGCAGUAGUUUGCACACUCGCAUCGGGAGCGCGGCGCGUCCACAGCCGUUAAACACCCAACUUCUGAAAUGUUGACCUCGGAUCAGGUAGGAAUACCCGCUGAACUUAAGCAUAUCUA